AGCUGUGUAAUCCACAUUGCCUGUAAUAGUUGCCAGUGUACUCGAGCAAUCUGUUCUCUGUGUUUUUCCUUGACUUCUAGGUAAUUUCUUUCCCUGGGACUCAGCAAUAAAUAGCCCCUCAUGCCCUUACUGGUGCUGGCAUCUAAGAUGUAAAUUCACUUAAACUGUGUGUCAUACCAGUUGUUCUCAGAGUGUGAUCUCCAGACCAGCAGCAUCAGCGUCACUUGGGAACAUGAGAAAAAUGCAGAUUCUUGGGCCUUACUACUGAAGCAGAAACUCAGGGCUGCUUGGAAAGCCUGAACAAAAAGGCCCAUAAAGUAUGGACCAACAAAAGGAUAAAAGAUGCGGAACCAAUGAGAUACGUUUUG